rnacentral:lncRNA from 1 species
UCACACAAUUCAAUCAAAUUUCCUGGGUUUAACAACGACAAUUUCAUCAUUCCCAUAUUUCAAUCCAUUUUCAUGGGUUUAAAAGCAACAUUUUCUUCAUUCACACAAUUCAAUCAAAUUUCAUGGGUUUAACAUCAACAUUUUCAUCAUUUCCAUAAUUCAAUUUAUCUUCAAGGGUUUAACAACAACAUUUUCAUCAUUCACACAAUUCAAUCAAACUUCAUAGGUUUAACAAUAACAUUUUC